rnacentral:rRNA from 1 species
ACGGCCAUACCAUGCUGAAUAUACCGGUUCUAGUUAGAUCACCGAAGUCAAGCAUCAUUGGGCGCGGUCAGUACCCAGGUGGGUCACCAC